GAUGAACGCUAGCUACAGGCUUAACACAUGCAAGUCGAGGGGAAACGACAUUGAAGCUUGCUUCGAUGGUCGUCGACCGGCGCACGGGUGAGUAACGCGUAUCCAACCUGCCUCUGACCAAGGGAUAACCCGUCGAAAGUCGGCCUAAUACCUUAUGCAGUCGUCGGAAGUCAUCUGAUGACGACGAAAGAUUUCAUCGGUGAGUGAUGGGGAUGCGUCUGAUUAGCUUGUUGGCGGGGUACCGGCCCACCAAGGCAACGAUCAGUAGGGGUUCUGAGCGGAGGGUCCCCGACAGGGGAACUGGGACACGGGCCAAACUGCUACGGGAGGCAGCAGUGAGGAAGAUUGGUCAAUGGGCGAGAGCCUGAGCCAGCCAAGUAGCGUGCAGGAAGACGGCCCGAUGGGUUGUAAACUGCUUGUAUGCGGGGAUAAAGUGAGGGACGGGUCCGUCAUUGCAGGUACCGCAUGAAUAAGGACCGGCUAAUUCCGUG
rnacentral:rRNA from 1 species